UCUAGUUCUCAAUAAAUAGACAGCAAAACCCAUACUGUCUUUCACAGCAACUCGACAAUGGCUUCAACAAAACCCACAUCACUCAUUGUCUCCAUCACCUUCUUCUUCUUCUUCUUCUUCUUCUUCUUCUUCUUCUGUCUUCUCCUCCAACCCUCAUCGGCCCAAACCGUCGUUAAAGGGUCGUACUGGUUUCCAGAGAGUGAAUUCCCAGUUACCGACAUUAACUCAUCUCACUUCACUCACCUCUUCUGUGCUUUCGCUGAUCUCAACUCUCAAAACAAUCAAGUCACUAUCUCCUCCACCAACCAACCAAAAUUUUCAACCUUUACACAAACCGUGCAAAGGAGAAACCCUUCAUACCCUCGGUUUAGAGAUUACAGAAUAAUUUGAUUAUUUACUAUCAAGUGGUUGUUUGAUUAUAGUACUUAUAAGUUGCGUUUUAAGGAUUCAAUUGGAGUUUAGGGUUGUAAGCAUUCUCAGGCCAAGCAAGUUAACUUCAUUUCAUACCCUCGGUUUAGAGAUUACAGAAUAAUUUGAUUAUUUGCUAUCAAGUGGUUGUUUGAUUAUAGUACUUAUAAGUUGCGUUUUAAGGAUUCAAUUGGAGUUUAGGGUUUAAGAAAAAAUAUGAUAAAGGGGAUGAUGUGGUAAAAGGAUAUGGUGUAAAUAGAUAAGUGAUUUUGGGGUUUAGGGAUUUGAUUUUCGGGGUUUCAGAUAUACUCCUAGUAAAUUCGUCGUAAUAGAAAACACACGGGCCUGGUAGAUUCCUCGUAAUACAUGUGUCCUUGUAAAUUUGUUGUAAUGCUUUCCUUGUAAUCUCAUUGUAAAGUUUUCCUUGUAAAGUCAUCGUAAAGUUUUCCUUGUAAGUUCGUCGUAAAUAUUCCUUGUAAAUUCAUUGUAAUUUUAAAAACGCGGACCUGGUAGAUUCCUCGUAACACUAAAAACGCGGACCUGGUAGAUUCCUCGUAAAAUUACGACGACUUUACGAGGAGUGUUGUUUUCUUAUAUAAACUCGAAACAUGAAUGAAGAAUGCCUCCUUCAUUCCUCUCAAACCACUCCUCUCUUUCUCUCACUCAUUGUAAAGUUUUCCUUGUAAAGUCAUCGUAAAGUUUUCCUUGUAAGUUCGUCGUAAAUAUUCCUUGUAAAUUCAUUGUAAUUUUAAAAACGCGGACCUGGUAGAUUCCUCGUAACACUAAAAACGCGGACCUGGUAGAUUCCUCGUAAAAUUACGACGACUUUACGAGGAGUGUUGUUUUCUUAUAUAAACUCGAAACAUGAAUGAAGAAUGCCUCCUUCAUUCCUCUCAAACCACUCCUCUCUUUCUCUCAAAGGU
rnacentral:lncRNA from 1 species